rnacentral:tRNA from 1 species
CUCGUGCUAAUCUAUAGCUCACUUAG